GAAAGUUAAAGAGGAUGAGGCAGAACUUUGUUGACCACCAACAUUGGCAGCACUGCAAUAUUACGCGUUCGGCUCCAUUUCCUUAUCCACAUAUGACCGUAUUUUCCCUUACCCGUGAGAAAAUCUCGUUGACUGCACUUCCCAAAAACAAUUUUGGUGGAAAAACAAAUAAUAAACAAAGGUCACCAAGAACUACCUUUGUCCUAUUUACAUUUCGAACCCGCAUCCUUCUCGUCCAACUAACUAAUCAGAACUCUUCUCACGGAUCCAUCAAUUUUUUUUUUUCUCUGGUAUUUAAUUGACGACCCACAAUCCAUUUUUAUUGAUUGGUGACUGCAACAGAGAUUUCCUCAGUUAGGGUUUAUUAUCGGGUUCAUCGUUGUUCUCAACUUUUUUUUUUCUUCAUAUUUUGACCAUUAUUCGAAUUUUGAAUCGACCCAUAUUAAUUCAUGGCGUCGAGUUUCGACCGGUGGAAAAAAGAUCCUUUCUUUAACGCUGCCGAAGAAGUUCAGGAAUCUGCAGACAGGAUGGAAUCUACGUAUAGGACAUGGAUACAUGCAACCAAAGAUACGUCCAACAUGUGGAACUCUGAUGAACUUCGCAGAGAUCUACAUACUGCCCUUGGCACAGCUAAAUGGCAGUUAGAGGAAUUUGAACGUGCAGUCAGAUCAACUUAUAGCAAAAGCUCAAGUGAGGAAGCAAGAAAUAGGCACCAAGAUUUUAUAACUGCCAUGGAUAGCAAGAUAAAGAAAAUUGAGCAUUUGUUAAAUGAAUCAAUCCUUCCAGAUGGCAAGGAAUCUCUGCCUUGGGUGCGUCUGGACGAAGGAGAACAAAAUGAGCUUGCUUUGUUUCUUUCAGGAAAGCCGGCAGCUGAAAGCCACAAUCCCCCUUGGCCUAUCACAAGGGACAGUGGGAAUCCACAAUUAAGUGAUAAGGAUUCAGUCAGUAAUUGUUUACAUAAUUUUCAUGUUUCAUCUGGGUGGGGUGAAGCAAAGGAGGAGAUAUCACAUGGGCAUCGUAGGGCAGCUAGUGCUAGCGCUGAUAUUGGUUCUUGGAAAAUUUUGGUUUCUGAUGACCCACAGCAAUGGAGUUCUUCUAGUGGUUCUUCUGGUCUAAUGCAUAAGGUACCCAGUUUAUCAGGAUUUCUUGGUUCCAUGAAAUCCGUCUCUAAGUUGAAGUGGCCUAGGAAUGGUUACAGAAAGCUUAAAGCAGUGGAUCAUCAUAAAGAAACUGAUAGUUCACUGCUUCCAACAGCUGACACGAAUAGGGGAAACAAUGCAUGCUUUGAAAGAAGUAAGAGUAGCCUUGAUAGUUGUGAUGAAUGCUAUGACAAGCAACUCUAUGGAUGGUAUGGUGCUAUUCAGAGACAGCUUCAAAGAUCUCAAUACCAAAUGCAAUACAGUCAGCCUGUUCGAAUAACUGUUUGGAUUGUUUUUCUCCUCUGUUUGAUUGGGAUGUUUAGGACUUCAAAACUGAUGUAGAAAAUUCCAAUGGAUCGUUGACAAAAUGGAUUGAACCCGACGGGUCAACCGAUCCAAACGGGACGGGUUGAGUCGUGUAUGCAGGUUUUAAUUGCAUUUUGCGCAAAGCAGAAGGAUGGUUUAGAUACACGAUCUAUCAGUUUGUAGCUGACGGCAGCACGAGGGAUAGAAAAGCUUUUGAUACAAGUUCAUAUAACCUACGUUGUCUCUUAAGCAAGAGAGAUAGGCUAGGUUUCCUGAUUCUAGCUUAAGCUAUGGAUUGCUAUUUAGAGUCUACAUAGCACUUGCUCAUUUUUCGUUUUUUGCUAUUUAAUCUCUUUUGCCCCUUCCAAAUUCAAGUUGUUUAUGAAGAGUUCUCUGUUGUACUGUAUAGUAAGACAGAGAUGAGUAGAUGACAUUGGGGAUUGGCCUCUUGCAUGUUGCCAUGUAUCAUAUAUGUAAUGUUGAUGCUAGAGCUGUAUUUUGUCCCAUAGCAUGUACAAAUUCAAGGUGAC